UGCAGUCGAGCGGUAGCACAGAGAGCUUGCUCUCGGGUGACGAGCGGCGGACGGGUGAGUAAUGUCUGGGAAACUGCCUGAUGGAGGGGGAUAACUACUGGAAACGGUAGCUAAUACCGCAUAACGUCGCAAGACCAAAGUGGGGGACCUUCGGGCCUCAUGCCAUCAGAUGUGCCCAGAUGGGAUUAGCUGGUAGGUGGGGUAACGGCUCACCUAGGCGACGAUCCCUAGCUGGUCUGAGAGGAUGACCAGCCACACUGGAACUGAGACACGGUCCAGACUCCUACGGGAGGCAGCAGUGGGGAAUAUUGCACAAUGGGCGCAAGCCUGAUGCAGCCAUGCCGCGUGUGUGAAGAAGGCCUUCGGGUUGUAAAGCACUUUCAGCGGGGAGGAAGGCGAUAAGGUUAAUAACCUUGUCGAUUGACGUUACCCGCAGAAGAAGCACCGGCUAACUCCGUGCCAGCAGCCGCGGUAAUACGGAGGGUGCAAGCGUUAAUCGGAAUUACUGGGCGUAAAGCGCACGCAGGCGGUCUGUCAAGUCGGAUGUGAAAUCCCCGGGCUCAACCUGGGAACUGCAUUCGAAACUGGCAGGCUAGAGUCUUGUAGAGGGGGGUAGAAUUCCAGGUGUAGCGGUGAAAUGCGUAGAGAUCUGGAGGAAUACCGGUGGCGAAGGCGGCCCCCUGGACAAAGACUGACGCUCAGGUGCGAAAGCGUGGGGAGCAAACAGGAUUAGAUACCCUGGUAGUCCACGCUGUAAACGAUGUCGAUUUGGAGGUUGUGCCCUUGAGGCGUGGCUUCCGGAGCUAACGCGUUAAAUCGACCGCCUGGGGAGUACGGCCGCAAGGUUAAAACUCAAAUGAAUUGACGGGGGCCCGCACAAGCGGUGGAGCAUGUGGUUUAAUUCGAUGCAACGCGAAGAACCUUACCUGGUCUUGACAUCCACAGAACUUUCCAGAGAUGGAUUGGUGCCUUCGGGAACUGUGAGACAGGUGCUGCAUGGCUGUCGUCAGCUCGUGUUGUGAAAUGUUGGGUUAAGUCCCGCAACGAGCGCAACCCUUAUCCUUUGUUGCCAGCGGUUAGGCCGGGAACUCAAAGGAGACUGCCAGUGAUAAACUGGAGGAAGGUGGGGAUGACGUCAAGUCAUCAUGGCCCUUACGACCAGGGCUACACACGUGCUACAAUGGCAUAUACAAAGAGAAGCGACCUCGCGAGAGCAAGCGGACCUCAUAAAGUAUGUCGUAGUCCGGAUUGGAGUCUGCAACUCGACUCCAUGAAGUCGGAAUCGCUAGUAAUCGUAGAUCAGAAUGCUACGGUGAAUACGUUCCCGGGCCUUGUACACACCGCCCGUCACACCAUGGGAGUGGGUUGCAAAAGAAGUAGGUAGC
rnacentral:rRNA from 1 species